GAUGAACGCUGGCGGCGUGCCUAAUACAUGCAAGUCGAGCGAACAGAUGAGGAGCUUGCUCCUCUGACGUUAGCGGCGGACGGGUUAGUAACACGUUGAUAACCUACCUAUAAGACUUGGAUAACUUCGGGAAACCGGAGCUAAUACCGGAUAAUAUAUUGAACCGCAUGGUUCAAUAGUGAAAGACGGUUUUGCUGUCACUUAUAGAUGGAUCCGCGCCGCAUUAGCUAGUUGGUAAGGUAACGGCUUACCAAGGCAACGAUGCGUAGCCGACCUGAGAGGGUGAUCGGCCACACUGGAACUGAGACACGGUCCAGACUCCUACGGGAGGCAGCAGUAGGGAAUCUUCCGCAAUGGGCGAAAGCCUGACGGAGCAACGCCGCGUGAGUGAUGAAGGUCUUCGGAUCGUAAAACUCUGUUAUUAGGGAAGAACAAAUGUGUAAGUAACUAUGCACGUCUUGACGGUACCUAAUCAGAAAGCCACGGCUAACUACGUG
rnacentral:rRNA from 1 species